UACGUAGGGCGCAAGCGUUAUCCGGAAUUAUUGGGCGUAAAGAGCUUGUAGGCGGUUUGUCGCGUCUGCUGUGAAAUUUCGGGGCUCAACCCCGAACUUGCAGUGGGUACGGGCAGACUAGAGUGAUGUAGGGGAGACUGGAAUUCCUGGUGUAGCGGUGAAAUGCGCAGAUAUCAGGAGGAACACCGAUGGCGAAGGCAGGUCUCUGGGCAUUAACUGACGCUGAGGAGCGAAAGCAUGGGGAGCGAACAGG
rnacentral:rRNA from 1 species